AAAAAACCGGAGGAGCCUGCCGAAGAUGAGGCCAUUACGGCUCGCCUUUAGGAGUCCUCCUCGGGUUAGCGUCAUUUAAAGAACGACGGACAACACGACGUAAAAAAGACCA